rnacentral:ncRNA from 1 species
UGAUAGAGGCGCGGACUUUAUCAGUAACCCGAACCACGGCGCGGAAACGCCGCGGGCGAAAGGAAAGGCCGCCGAAGCCCUUGGCAGAUUUCCGUUUGUCACCGGCUGGGGCUGCGCAGAAUAUGCGCAGGACUGUCGCUUCGGCGGAGUGCUAUUCG